GACGAACGCUGGCGGCGUGCUUAACACAUGCAAGUCGAACGGAAAGGCCCUGCUUUUGUGGGGUGCUCGAGUGGCGAACGGGUGAGUAACACGUGAGUAACCUGCCCUUGACUUUGGGAUAACUUCAGGAAACUGGGGCUAAUACCGGCUAGGAGCUCCUGCUGCAUGGUGGGGGUUGGAAAGUUUCGGCGGUUGGGGAUGGACUCGCGGCUUAUCAGCUUGUUGGUGGGGUAGUGGCUUACCAAGGCUUUGACGGGUAGCCGGCCUGAGAGGGUGACCGGCCACAUUGGGACUGAGAUACGGCCCAGACUCCUACGGGAGGCAGCAGUGGGGAAUAUUGCACAAUGGGCGGAAGCCUGAUGCAGCAACGCCGCGUGCGGGAUGACGGCCUUCGGGUUGUAAACCGCCUUCGCCUGUGACGAAGCGUGAGUGACGGUAAUGGGUAAAGAAGCACCGGCUAACUACGUG
rnacentral:rRNA from 1 species